UACGUAGGGUGCAAGCGUUAAUCGGAAUUACUGGGCGUAAAGCGUGCGCAGGCGGUUCGCUAAGACAGAUGUGAAAUCCCCGGGCUUAACCUGGGAACUGCAUUUGUGACUGGCGGGCUAGAGUAUGGCAGAGGGGGGGUAGAAUUCCACGUGUAGCAGUGAAAUGCGUAGAGAUGUGGAGGAAUACCGAUGGCGAAGGCAGCCCCCUGGGCCAAUACUGACGCUCAUGCACGAAAGCGUGGGGAGCAAACAGG
rnacentral:rRNA from 1 species